CACGGCACUGUGUGAGGAGGACACAUGUGGUGCAGUAUGAUACUAGCAUAUGCUGCAUCAUGCGUGACCUCCCCACACCGUGUUGUG